UACGUAGGGGGCGAGCGUUUGUCCGGAUUCAUUGGGCGUAAAGCGCGCGUAGGCGGCCCCGCAAGUCGGCCGUGAAAUCUCCCAGCUCAACUGGGAGGGGUCGGGCGAGACUGCGGGGCUCGAGGUGGGUAGAGGGCAGUGGAAUUCCGGGUGUAGUGGUGGAAUGCGUAGAGAUCCGGAGGAACACCAGUGGCGAAGGCGGCUGCCUGGGCCUGGCCUGACGCUGAGGAGCGAAAGCGUGGGGAGCGAACAGGG
rnacentral:rRNA from 1 species